rnacentral:rRNA from 1 species
AGCUUGUGUGUUAGUGGAAGCGUCUGGAAAGUCGCACGGUACAGGGUGAAAGUCCCGUACACGAAAAUGCACAGGCUGUGAACUCGAAGAGUAGGGCGGGACACGUGGUAUCCUGUCUGAAUAUGGGGGGACCAUCCUCCAAGGCUAAAUACUCCUGACUGACCGAUAGUGAACCAGUACCGUGAGGGAAAGGCGAAAAGAACCCCGGCGAGGGGAGUGAAAAAGAACCUGAAACCGUGUACGUACAAGCAGUGGGAGCACCUUCGGGUGUGACUGCGUACCUUUUGUAUAAUGGGUCAGCGACUUAUAUUCUGUAGCAAGGUUAACCGUAUAGGGGAGCCGAAGGGAAACCGAGUCUUAACUGGGCGUUAAGUUGCAGGGUAUAGACCCGAAACCCGGUGAUCUAGCCAUGGGCAGGUUGAAGGUUGGGUAACACUAACUGGAGGACCGAACCGACUAAUGUUGAAAAAUUAGCGGAUGACCUGUGGCUGGGGGUGAAAGGCCAAUCAAACCGGGAGAUAGCUGGUUCUCCCCGAAAGCUAUUUAGGUAGCGCCUCGUGAACUCAUCUUCGGGGGUAGAGCACUGUUUCGGCUAGGGGGCCAUCCCGGCUUACCAACCCGAUGCAAACUACGAAUACCGAAGAAUGUUAUCACGGGAGACACACGGCGGGUGCUAACGUCCGUCGUGAAGAGGGAAACAACCCAGACCGCCAGCUAAGGUCCCAAAGUCAUGGUUAAGUGGGAAACGAUGUGGGAAGGCCCAGACAGCCAGGAUGUUGGCUUAGAAGCAGCCAUCAUUUAAAGAAAGCGUAAUAGCUCACUGGUCGAGUCGGCCUGCGCGGAAGAUGUAACGGGGCUAAACCAUGCACCGAAGCUGCGGCAGCGACGCUUAUGCGUUGUUGGGUAGGGGAGCGUUCUGUAAGCCGUUGAAGGUGGCCUGUGAGGGCUGCUGGAGGUAUCAGAAGUGCGAAUGCUGACAUAAGUAACGAUAAAGCGGGUGAAAAGCCCGCUCGCCGGAAGACCAAGGGUUCCUGUCCAACGUUAAUCGGGGCAGGGUGAGUCGACCCCUAAGGCGAGGCCGAAAGGCGUAGUCGAUGGGAAACAGGUUAAUAUUCCUGUACUUGGUGUUACUGCGAAGGGGGGACGGAGAAGGCUAUGUUAGCCGGGCGACGGUUGUCCCGGUUUAAGCAUGUAGGCGGAGGUUC